rnacentral:rRNA from 1 species
UACGAAGGGGGCUAGCGUUGCUCGGAAUUACCGGGCAUAAAGGGCGCGUAGGCGGAUAGUUUAGUCAGAGGUGAAAGCCCAGGGCUCAACCUUGGAAUUGCCUUUGAUACUGGCUAUCUUGAGUUCGGAAGAGGUAAGUGGAAUGCCGAGUGUAGAGGUGAAAUUCGUAGAUAUUCGGCGGAACACCAGUGGCGAAGGCGACUUACUGGUCCGAUACUGACGCUGAGGCGCGAAAGCGUGGGGAGCAAACAGG